rfam:Alphaproteobacteria bacterium MedPE-SWcel Alphaproteobacteria-MedPE-SWcel-C3, whole genome shotgun sequence.
GUCCUCGAUCUGUUGCGGGCAGAUAUAGUGGAUAUGGCUGUCAAAGCCGCCCGCGGUCAGGAUCCGCCCCUCGCCCGCGAUCACCUCGGUGCCGGGACCGACGAUAAUGUCGACGCCGGGCUGGGUGUCGGGGUUCCCGGCCUUGCCGAUGGCGGCGAUGCGCCCGUCCCGCAGGCCGACAUCGGCCUUGUAGAUGCCGGUCCAGUCGAGGAUCAGCGCAUUGGUGAUGACGGUAUCCACCGCCCCGGCUGCCCGCGUCGCCUGGGACUGCCCCAUGCCGUCGCGGAU